GUUGGGCUUCAAUGUCAGCAGCCCAAUAUUAAAGUUAACAGCAGCCCAAGUUAUCAGCUGCCCAAGAGUUAGUAGCAGCCCAAGGGUAGUGGGUCUAUUUAAUUGUUGUAUAAUUUUGUACAUAAGUCAGGGACACACUUGUAAUUACACACACACAUUAGAUUUUAUUAUGCUUUGGUAUAUACACAGGCGGAAGGUUCGAGACAGCUCAGUUCAAUCAAUGCAAAUUCAGAUUCAUUUUCUCUCUUCUCUUUCCUCUUUACUGUUCAUCUUCUUCUUCUUUAUUUUCUUCAAUCCGAUGAGUUAGAUUGUUGACAUGGUAUCAGAGCGGGUAUAUUCUAGUUCUCCUCGUCAUCAGCUUUCGAUCGAUGUUACCCUCAUCGAUUUCCAUCCAUGUUUCUGCUGAUUCUCAAAAUCUAGGGUUUUUGUUCGGUUAGUUUUCGAUGAAACACCUGUAUUUUUGUUGAUUAAACUUGCUGUCUAGUGUAUAAACAUCAUAGAUUGUAUUUUUAGUUGUUGAUUUUGUUGUAUUUUUGUGAUAGAAAUUUGUUGUGGUCACAAUCUGUGGU
rnacentral:lncRNA from 1 species